UGGAAGAGUAACAUAGAGUAAAGUAACAGGUAACAUUAUACAUAAGCAAUUUUUUUUUCUUUGAAACAAAGUUGUGUCUGUUAAACAGUAACAACUGAGUAGCAUGAGUUCAAUUCAAUGAACCUAUAUGCUUUAUAUACUAUACUAAGCAGUAAAUACUAUACCAAGCAGUAAAUGAGGUGAGGGAUUGUUUCCUACACAUUAUCCUCAGCAAUGCUUCAUAUUGAAUGUCAAUAGAAACAAUUCAUAGCUGCCAAAUUAAACAGAAU
rnacentral:lncRNA from 1 species